rnacentral:rRNA from 1 species
UGGGGAAUAUUGCUCAAUGGGCGCAAGCCUGAAGCAGCGACGCCGCGUGAGGGAUGAAGGCCUUCGGGUUGUAAACCUCUUUCAGCUCCGAAGAAGCGAAAGUGACGGUAGGAGCAAAAGAAGCACCGGCUAACUACGUGCCAGCAGCCGCGGUAAUACGUAGGGUGCAAGCGUUGUCCGGAUUUAUUGGGCGUAAAGAGCUCGUAGGCGGUCUGUCGCGUCUGCUGUGAAAACUCGGGGCUUAACCCCGGGCCUGCAGUGGGUACGGGCAGACUAGAGUGCGGUAGGGGAGACUGGAAUUCCUGGUGUAGCGGUGAAAUGCGCAGAUAUCAGGAGGAACACCGGUGGCGAAGGCGGGUCUCUGGGCCGUAACUGACGCUGAGGAGCUAAAGCAUGGGUAGCGAACAGGAUUAGAUACCCUGGUAGUCCAUGCCGUAAACGUUGGGCGCUAGGUGUGGGGCUCAUUCCACGAGUUCCGUGCCGCAGCAAACGCAUUAAGCGCCCCGCCUGGGGAGUACGGCCGCAAGGCUAAAACUCAAAGGAAUUGACGGGGCCCCGCACAAGCGGCGGAGCAUGCGGAUUAAUUCGAUGCAACGCGAAGAACCUUACCAAGGCUUGACAUGC